rnacentral:misc_RNA from 2 species
AAAAGCACCGUACAAUGGUCGUAAAGAGAUCAAAGGCCAGGCGUAAUCCUGCUUUUACCUCUUAACGUAAAAACCCGCUUCGGCGGGUUUUUUUGUAUC